AAAAAAGCCGCCAAUACGUACUGUUGUCGAGCCUCUUGCCUAUAAAAUGAAGCCUCCCUCAGAAAUUGAGUCCGACAAACAUUAUAGAACUGUUCUAAAGAUUCACUUAUUUUAAUUUGUAUUCGACACUGAGACUCUAAUCUCUUCGAACAAUAUAUUUUCGCAGUCUUAGAGAGAUGGCGAUUGGAAUAAUGGAGGUGAAGCUGGUGAGUGCUAAAAGUCUCAAAAACACUGAUUUCUUAGGUAUGGAUGGCUCUAUCUUUAAUUCUGAUCUGAUGAGAUUAUUACAUCAUGCAUUUCUUCAAAAAUUAAAGGGAAAAAAUGAAGAAGACAAAAAUUUGUUCUUAUUUCUCAUUAAUGAUUUGAGUUCUACUUUGAUAUUGAAAUCCAGAUGAAGGGUUGAACCCACGGAAAAAAAAAAAAAAAAAAAACGAAUUUCUUGAUCAUCUUUUUGUAAUUCAUGAGCUUUUCAAGCAUUUUCCAUUUAUAAAGUUACGUGAAAGAAAGAAGAGUCCUUGCAUAUGUAAAUUUCACCAACGAAUACAUUUGUUACAUAUGUUUAUUUUCUUAAAUGUUGAUUAGUUUUCGAAUCCUAAGACAAUCAAGAGCACCUAAAAAAGGAGCUAGUCAAUGCGAUGAAAAAUAAUUUGAUGUAUAUUUAUUAUAACUUUGCAGGUGGAAUAGAUCCAUAUGUUUUGCUUCAGUACAGAAAACAAGAGUUCAAGAGCACCGUUGCCAAAGGUGAACUCCAAAUUCAUAUAUUUUCAUGUUCCACAAAAAACAUAUAAUACAAAAUAAGAUUUAAUCGAGUUCAAGUUUUGGGUUUGAUUUAAUUUCUUAAUGAGCUAAUUUUUCAGUUGAAUAGAAUCAAGCUUGAGUAUAUAUAUAUAUAAUAAAUAAAUAAAUAAAUAAAUAAAUAAAAUCCCAAAUAUAAUGGGUUGACAUUUAGCUCGUUGAGUUUAAAGAGAAAGAUAAUUUUUCAAUACCUAGGUUAGUUAUCUCAAGUAAGAUGAAUAUUUUACUUGCAAGGAAAUUAAUGUGGCUUGAACUUGUUUAAACUUAUCUUUUCUCACUUCUCAUUCCAUAAUUUAGGUUGAUAAAAAUUAACUAUUUUAUGUAACAUGAAAUCUAGAACCAAUAUAUCAUAUAAGAAUUCUCAAAAAAUAUAGAUGUCAUUGUAUAAUCAUUUUUGUAUUGUGACACAAACAAAAUUUAACUAAUUUCACUUCUUAACAUACCCUGUCCAACAUGCCACUUAAAAAGUUCUCUAAAACGCACUACAUUAACAAUUAAUUUAUGGAACAUUUCAAAUUCAAGGUAUUGACAUUGAUAAAAGAAAUAAACAUAAUUUCAAAUAACUAGUAUAUAUAUCUAUGUAGUGUUCAAAAUAUGCAUAGUUUGUUAAUAGUCUAAAUUUUCCAUUCUCCGAAACUACUUAGAUAAAUAUUUUAUGUCAUCUUAAAAUUUUAAUAUGAUAAGUACGACUAUGAGGGGGCAAGUUUCUAAAGACGAGAAGCAAAAAAAUUAUAACUUAUUACACUGUGAAAUUUAUUCUUAUUUAAAACUAACCCAAGUUGGGGCCAUAAUCUUUUAUGAACAUAUAGAGGUUAUUCCUACAUAAAUAUCACUAUAGAGGAGUCUCACUAUAUAUAUAUAUAAUGCAUGUGCAAGAAAAGGUACUAGCCCAGUAUGGAAUGAGAAGUUCGAGUUCAGGGUUGACUCUCCAUUGACAGAUGACAAUCAAUACGAACUCGUGCUCAAGAUAAUGGAUCACGACACCUUCAGUGCAGAUGAUUAUCUUGGGCAAGCAACGUAAGACAUUAUGGAAUUUAUCAAAUGCACAUAUUCUUUAAUAUACAUUCAAUCUUAUUCUUUUCUAGUCCAGUGUAAUUUACCAUAGACUAAAUGCAUUGUAGGAUCUAUGUGAAAGACCUUAUAAAAAUAGGGGUGGAAGAAGGAAAGGCUGAAAUUCAUCCUCAAAAAUAUAGAGUUGUCUCCACCGAUCAAAUUUAUUACGGAGAGAUUCAAGUAGGAAUUACUUUCACUGCAAAGGUACCCUUUUCUAAUGUCCCUCAAACUCUAUGAAUUGAUCAGAUGAAAUUAAUUGCUUUUUCAUUUUCUAAGAAGUAGAAUAUAACAAUCUAUUCCUGGUGUACAAGGUUUGAUCAAUGUUAAUUAUUUGAUUACAGCAAAAAACUGUUGAAGAAGAAGAAGAAGAAUAUGGCGGAUGGAAGGAAAGCGACUACUAGUUUUCCUACCGGCUACAUGGAACUUUCUGCAAGCAAUAAUUUAAUUUUCAGUGAAUAAUUUAGAAGUAUGUAAUAAUCCUUUUCUGUGUCUUUGAAGUAAUUAGACUGCACGAAUAUAUUAUUUUGGCAAAAAUGUAUUUAUUGUAAAAUAGAAUGUGUUGUUAAGAGGUAAAUCUCACAAUGUCUAAAUAUCGAAAUAUAAACAAUAUAUAAGGGUUUAGA
rnacentral:lncRNA from 1 species